UAGAAACUGGGAGAAGUAUGAUAUAUAAACCAAAUUAAAAUGAGAAAAAUUGCUACUAGAGAAACAAAACCAUAGAACUCAUAACCAGGUUAAUGAAGCAAAAUUCAUAAUUUCUAGAGAAAAUAUAAAGAGAGAGCACGUUCCACAAGGUUUAUGACCUUGGCUUCUCCUUCUUCUCCUUGAAGAGAGCAAGAAGAGACACCCCAGAAACCUUUACAACCUUGAAUCUCACACCAGGAAUAUCACCCACGGCGUGACCUUUACGCCCAAAUCCAGCGAUCAAAACCUCGUCCUACAACCAUACAAAAAUCCAUAUUAUGAACCCAUGUAUACAUACAUCCUUGGAAUAAGAACCAAACAGCAAAAUAAUACAAAUAAAAUGAUCGUUUAAUCACUUACAUUUUCUUCAAUGUAAUUUAAACAACCAUCGUUUGGCACAAAGGCAGCGAUCUUCUUCCCAUUUUUGAUGAGUUGAACCCUGGCACAUUUACGAAUGGCAGAGUUGGGCUGUUUUGCCUCAAUACCUCUGCACAUAAAAUACCAUACAAUAAUUUUUUAGCAUUAAUUAGAUUAUAUUAAAGAAAUUUUAUAGUGAAUCAUAUAUAGAAUGCGUUAAAUUAAUCUUACAUCUUUUCUAGAACAAUUCCCUUGGCAUGGGAUGAACCUGCGAAAGGCUUCUUCCAUUCAUUGCCAAGAUGAGACUUUUUGUAUGACUUAUCCGCCCAUCUUUGUCUUCUACGGUGGGACUUCAGCUUGCGGGCAGCUCCCAUUCCACGUGUUUUCCUAUAGAUGGAAAGGAAGAACAUUUAGCUUUCUAACUCUUACGUACAUGCCAGUUAACAAUUACUAACCCUUAUGCACAAGAGAAUCCGCACAAUCAAAUAAUAUCUACUCUAAGAAUAAUCUCACAAGAUUGUUAAGCAAAGAAAUAAAAAAGCAUCUCACUGAUCUUAAACACUACAACAACAAUAUUGCUUCUAUCCCACUACACUGUUCAAUGAAUGAGAUACCUACCAAUAAUAUAAUUUCUAAAAGGGUAGCAUUCCGUGAUUUGUUAGAGAAAACAAAUAAAAAGAAUUCAAAAGGUCCUAAAACAAUAAAACCACAAUAAUAGUCAUAUUCCACUAGGCAAUUGUUCCUAAUAAACGAACAGAUGAAAUUCAAUUACAGUGUUCCAGUGAAUGCAAUACCAAAACACAAAAGAUGACUUGAGAACGUCAACCACAUAUAGUUGAAUGUUCAAGCACCACUGGACUAUACAGUGGUAAAGUAUUAACCAACUCAUACAGAACAAUCCCUACAAGACACACUAAAAAAAUACAAUAUUAUCAUAUGGGGAAAACCCUAAGAAGAUUCGACUGUACGUAUAUCUACAAAAUCAACUACACAUCUAUGAACUCAACCACACAGACCACAUCAUACAAACUACUUAAUGAAACAAAAAAUAGCCCAUAAAAAUGCAACUUAUCAUAUGUUCAUAAAGGUCGAGAAACAGGAGGAUGAACGGCGCUACGAAAUUCCAAAGCGAACAAAAAUAUCAAAAUUAAAAAAGACAUGUAGCAAUAGAGGAGAAAUUUGCAAUAAUAAUAAUUUGAUAAGGAAAAAAAGAAUGAGAAUAAUAAUAAUUAUUGAAAGCAAAAGGUUGCAUUACCCCAUGGUGAUAGAGGUUUGGUUCUACGCAGAUAGAGAGUUCAGAAAUCGGAGAAGAUGAAGCAGCCGCGCAAAACCCUAAUACCUAGGAGCGUGGUGGUGUUUAUAUAAAGAUUAAAAGCAGUUAAGUCGGGGCCUGUAUUUCUGGACUAUUAAGUUUAGGUGAAUCUUUGGGCCCAAACUUGUUUGGGUUCAGGAACGGCGUUGUUCAAGCCCGUUUAAUUCGGAUUAGCAGAUAAAUUCUUUCUGCACCCCAUGGGAGUUAUGAAAAGACGAUUGUACCUUUACUGAAUAAAUAAAAUCCAAUUUAGCACCCCUUCAUCUUUUUCCUUUCGCAGCCGCAACACUUCCUUUUAAGAGGCAUCUCCUUUUUCUUAUAGUUAUUUUUUGUUAGAUUAUCUAACACAUAAAACUUGAAUAGUGAUUCUCUAACGCUAGAACAAAUAAAUCGUCUAACAUUAAAACACGACUUUCUAACGCUAUAACAUGGAUGUCUAAUGCUAAAACAUACAUUAUGUAUCAAUGAGGCAACAAUUUGUAGAGGAAUUUGUCCAACUUGUAUUCAAAUGAACUUUUGACAUUGGAGAUCUUCAACUCUGGAAGAAAUAUCAAACAAGAGUCAUAUUUCACUUAAAAAAGAAGACUAUUUAGUGAUCAAAAUAUUUUAAUCACAGAUUGUGACAAGUAACUAAUUUGAGUUUGGUUAUUAAUUCAGUACAAAUUAAGAAGAAUUCAUGACAUAAUAAUAAAAGAAAAAUAAUUAUACCAGUUUCAUAAUUGAAAAAUAAAAAUUUGAUUAAAUUUUUUAAAAUUUUUAAUACUUUGAGUUAUUUUAUUAAAAAAGUUGAUAGUGAGACAAUGAAGUGUAAUUAUUUUUAAUCAAUAGUUGGGUUGAAAUUACUAAAUUAUUAUCUCAUAUACUAAUGUAAUUAAGGGUGUUUGGAUUGAUGAGGGAGUGUUUGGAUUGAUGAGGGAAUGCAUGAGGAUUUUAGGGAGGGGAUUGCAGUCAUUUAAUAGAUUAAUAUGAAGAAAGUGAGGUUGUUUAUAUUUAAAUAUGUUAAAGUUUGUGAAUAUUAUGAUGGUUGUGAGGAAAUUUAUAUUUUUUAUAAAGAAUUUAAAAUGUAAGUUUACAAAUUCAAUAUUGUCUUAAAAAUAUAUGAAUAAUAAAAUAUGAGAUAUUUUGUGUAUAUUUGAGUUAAUUUUGUAAACUAUUUCAGAAAAAAAUAGUUAUUUAUAACAUUACAAAUUUACUCUUCUAUUUAAAAAUCGUUGAAAAUUUAAUUUAAUUUAUUUAUAUUUAAACUAUAAUUGUUUUUAAUCAAAGUAUUAUUUCUAGUACUUUGAAAAAAAUAUUUUUAAAAAAAAAUAUGAAUUAUGUGUUCAAACAUACAAACAUAUUUAUUUAUGUUUGUAAGAAAAAUUAUUUAAAGUUCUAUUUAAAAUAAAAUCUUGAAUAUAUAAAUUUUUUAAAAUAUUCAAAAUUAUAAACAGAUACAAAUCUUAAAUAAUUUUGUUCUAUUUAGAUAAAAAUAUAAAAUUUUAAAAAUAUUCGAAAUUUUAAAUAAAUACAAAUCCUAAAUAUUUAAUAUCUUAUUCAAACAAAAAUAUAAAAUAUUUAAAAUUCUAAAUUAAUAAAAAUCUUAAAUAUUAAUGUCCUAUUUAAAUAAAAAUAUGAAAUAUAUAAAAAAUUAGAAUCUUUAAUAAAUAUAAAUUCUAAAUAUUCAAUGUUCUAUUUAAAUAAAAAUUUAAAAUAGAUAAAUUUUUAAAAUUAUUUACAAUCAUAAAUAAUACAAAUUUUAAAUUAAUUGACGUGCUAAUCUGAAAUACAAAUCUAAAAUGAACAAAAUUCAUAAAUUAUUCAAAAUUCAAAAUUAAAGAGGAAAGCGAUUAAGGAGGAAGAAAUUAUCAUCCAUUUUUGCUAUCAUAAUCGAUUAAGAUACCAAAUAUAUUGAAGACAUAAUUUAUUAUUCUCCAAAAAAAAUAUUUAUAAUAAUUUUCUUAUUAACUUAAUUGAUUAUCCUUUAUUUUAAUUUGUAAAAAAUUAUGUAUACUUCGUUUUUAUACACAAUCGAUCAUGUCAUCAAAACAAUCCAUCUUUACUUGAAAGAACAAGAGAAGGCACAGGUAAACAAAUUUUCCUUUCACAAACUUACACAACGUAACGAUGAAUUUCGGGACAAAAAUGGAAAAUCACAUUGUCUAUGUGUUUUUCCUUUCAUUUCUCUGCAUGUACACAAUGAAGCAUCUCAAACCCGUUUAUACCUUUCCUCGUCUACACAUCACUUAAAAAAAUAUGUAGAUACAACCAUAUUUUUAAAAUACAUCACACUAAAUACUUCUUUAAAACUAUUUAUUUAAACAUAGUUCAAUUAUACAUAACUUGAUUUAAUAUAAAGUUUUUUGUGAAACAAUCUAGAUCAAUAAAAGACAUAACUCAUUUAUUAAAAUAUUACUGAAUUACAUUUUGUAAACUAAAAUUCGAAGACCCAAUAUAAUAAAUAUUGCCUACUAAUCUAUACAAUUUAUUUUAGUAAAAAGCUGUUUCAAUACAAACAUAAAUAUAUAAGUACAAAAUAUAAAUCGCAUUUUUAUACUAACCAGCUUAUUAUAAUUCGUGUUUUUACAUAUAAAAAAUAAUUGUAAAUGCAUUCUAAAAUAAAUAGAACAUACACAAUUUAACAAUAUAUUAUUAUCUCAAUCUGAAUUGACCAAUUAAAACAUUGACAAAAUUAUUACAAAAGACUGAAAUAAAUUAAUUACUUAAACAUAAAAAAUAAUUCUUCAAUAUAUCCAAAUGAAUUUUUAGUUACCAAUUUUUUAAAGAUUAAAAGCACCUUAGUGACUAUUUUACGCUUUCAAAUCAAAUGAUAGCAUACACUGGAAUAUAUAGAAACUGGGAGAAGUUUGAUAUAUAAACCAAAUUAAGUUGAGAAAAAUUGCUACUAGAGAUACAAAACCGUCCAAAGAACUCAUAACAGUUUAAGGAAGCAAAACUCAUAAUUUCUUGAGAAACUAUAAAGAGGACACGUUCCACAGGCUUAUGACCUUGGCUUCUCCUUCUUCUCCUUGAAGAGAGCAAGAAGAGACACCCCAGAAACCUUUACAACCUUGAAUCUCACACCAGGAAUAUCACCCACGGCGUGACCUUUACGCCCAAAUCCAGCGAUCAAAACCUCGUCCUA
rnacentral:lncRNA from 1 species